CAUCAUCUCUCACCACCCUCAUCUUGUUAACUUAUAUUCAUUUCACAUUUUAUUCAUCAUAAAUACUUACUUCUCACAAACUACAUCACGGUACACUCCCUCUCUAGGUUCUCCUUGCUACUCUUCAUUCACCCUGAUCUUCAAACCAACUUAAACUCCUCCAAACAACCUCCAACUGGAACAACCCUUCAUAACUCGUGAACAAACACGACCAUGGCAUCGGUCCCUUUGCA
rnacentral:lncRNA from 1 species